rnacentral:rRNA from 1 species
GUGCCAGCAGCCGCGGUAAUACGAAGGGUGCAAGCGUUACUCGGAAUUACCGGGCGUAAAGCGUGCGUAGGUGGUCGUUUAAGUCCGUUGUGAAAGCCCUGGGCUCAACCUGGGGACUGCAGUGGAUACUGGGCGACUAGAGUGUGGUAGAGGGUAGCGGAAUUCCUGGUGUAGCAGUGAAAUGCGUAGAGAUCAGGAGGAACAUCCAUGGCGAAGGCAGCUACCUGGACCAACACUGACACUGAGGCACGAAAGCGUGGGGAGCAAACAGGAUUAGAUACCCUGGUAGUCCACGCCCUAAACGAUGCGAACUGGAUGUUGGGUGCAAUUUGGCACGCAGUAUCGAAGCUAACGCGUUAAGUUCACCGCCUGGGGAGUACGGUCGCAAGACUGAAACUCAAAGGAAUUGACGGGGGCCCGCACAAGCGGUGGAGUAUGUGGUUUAAUUCGAUGCAACGCGAAGAACCUUACCUGGCCUUGACAUGUCGAGAACUUUCCAGAGAUGGAUUGGUGCCUUUCGGGAACUCGAACACUGGGUGCUGCAUGGCUGCCGUCAGCUCGUGUCGUGAGAUGUGGGGUUAAAGCCCCCGCCACGAGCGCCACCCCUAGUUCCUUUAGUUG